UAAUUAGUAUUUUAUCUAGUUACUUUUAAUUUAUCAUACUUUCAAUAAAACUAAAAAUACUAAAAUAGUUUUGACAUUUUGUUCUUCAAAAGAUAAAAAAGCAAGGCUUCAAAAAAAAUAUUCUUUACAUAAUUUAGUUAUUAAUAGUAGUUAUUUAAUAGUAUUCUGAUUUCUUUAGUAUAGCUAAUUUGUUUUUUUUCUUUCUUUAAUACUUUUUUUAGAUAAUUAUUAUUUUUUGUCUAGCAAAUUUUAAGUUUAUCUUACUAGUGAAAUUGAAAAUUACCAAAAAAUAGUCACAUGUUUUUAAGUUUUAUUAUAUUAGUAGUAGUUUUGUUGUAGUGCUAUUUUAGCUUCUUUGAAAUAAAAGUAGUUGGUUUAAUCUUAUUUCAACAUUUUGGGGUAAGGAGGAACUAACAAAAUUUCUUUUAAAAUUGCUAAGAUUCCAUCUUAUCAUGGAUAACAAACUUUCUUUCUAAAAAUUUUUUAUAAGAUCACUCACGCCAAUUUCCUGUACACCACAUUAGUAAUGCAUUUCAUUUUUUAUUUACAUACAAAUUACUUUUCUCUAGGCAGUAAGGAAUUCACUGCACCACCAUAUUGAGAUUUCAUUUUUUAUAUUGUGGGGACCACAUAUUUUCUAGACAGAUCUUUACUUCUUUUCCAAGCACACACAGUCCAUGGUAAGAUAUUAUAUAAAUGGCCCAUACACAUCACUUAGAGAGAGGGGAGAGACGGAAAAAAAAUCCCUAGCGCCGCACGCCUUCAAGAGCUAGCAACGACCAACCUUUCUUCUUCAUCUCCAAGACCAUUUAGCUGCAGAAUUCCUCUCUCUUCACCACAAAAUCAACCCUAACUCCUCUACCCCAAGAGACAACCGCAUACCCCAUCUCCAACCGCCCACCUUUGGCCAUCUCGUCGGAAUUCGACACCAAAAAAAGACACACGCACACACAGGCACGGAUAGAGCAAAGUGACGGAAGAACUCAGAGAUGGCGGUACCACUACUGUUUUAGCCAAAAGUCCCUUCACCGACUCAAUUUCGAGCUUGAGUUCCGUCGAAGUCGCCGGUGUAGUUUCACUAUUGAUAGGUGGUCUGUUCGUUGGUUCCGUUCUUAGUUCGAAGGUCUGAUAGCUGUUCCUUGCUCAUUUUUAGAUUUGUUUAAUAAUACACAUUGUUCGACUUUCAGUCCAGUUAUCGAAGGUGACCAUUUGCUAAUUUGAGGCCCUUUGUUGUCGAUGAUGAAGAAGAUGGGGACCGAGGGUGGAUGGAUCGAUUUGUCUAAGUAAGGACUGUCGAUGUUAUCCUCGUGGAGUUCCUGCCGUUUCCUAAGAAAUGGAAUGUCACACCAACCCCGUGGAUGCCAUACGAGGUCCCCGACCUGACGGAUUUGGCUUGGAAGCUGGCGGCUCGCUCGACCUAUGAUAAGCGUAAGUGGCGAGAUCUAUGCAAGGGUAGAUCAAAGGCAAAACAUCAUGGCGUCGGAGAAUUUUUUGAGAUGAGACCGUUCCCCCUCGGGGAGGAGGAAGAAUCGUCGGCUUUAGGGUCGAGUAACGAUAACAAACGAAAUGAGUCCUUGAAGGACGAGGGUGCUCAUAGCGAGGCAAGCCCUGCUCGGAGACUCAAAGAAGAUAUAUCCGCUGAGCCUGCGGCAUCUGAGGCUUCUAGCCUUGGAAAAGUGGUUCCUCCCAUGCUGCCGUCUUCAUUUCCUGUCGAAGGUACUUCGAGGGAAUCGUCCUCCCCUCCUGUCGAAGGUACUUAGAAGGAUGAUCGAAAUCAGGGGCCGCCUAAAUCAAGCAGGGUCUCAAGCGACCAUGUCCCUACCGAGAUUAGUUCAACUGGGGCCGGUGGGACCAGGCCAGUAGAUGCAUGCUCAACCUUUGAGGAGGCUCAACGACUUUGUUUGCUGGCCUUUGAUAAGCUCAAGUCCGAGCUGCUCCGCUGUGAAGCCAGUUUGAGGAAAGCCUUGGAUGGGGAGAAAUCCCUCAGGCUUCUUUGUGAUAAAAGGGGAGAUGAGUUGGUAUACCUGCGGUACAAGGCGAAUCGGAUCCUGAACUACGAAAGCCACCUUGAGAGACAGUUGCAGAUCAAGACAGAGGAUCUGGAAUGCCAAGGGGCGAGGUUGGCCAGGCCAAGCGUGAGUGUAACGAGCUAAAGGCUUAGAUAGAUGCCCAUAUUGCGGCCAAGAAGAAUACUUUGGCCAAGGUUUUUGCCCUUAAGGUACAGCUCCAGAACGCCCGUGAAAAUAGCUCAGUUCAAACGAGCAGAAUUGCAAGGCUCGAGUCUGACUUUUGGAGAUGAAGGCCGAGGUCGUGGACACCCGGGCUGAAGCUGAAUAGAUUCGGGCUAAGGCAAACAAGAAAGUGGUCGUCUAUUUAAAAGAUGAUGCUGAUGCUCGAGCUAAGUUGAGAGGUGCUUUCGAUAGAGAGAGUAGAAGUAAUGAAUAUGCCCGGUGUAAAUCUCGGAGGGAAACCCUCGAAGAGAUUCACGCUAGGGGCUUCGAUCUCUCGGAGGAGAUAGCACAGGCCAAUGAGGAUGAAUACAACGCCAAAUUCCUCGUAUCUGAUGCCGAAGAUAAUGGAGAAGAGGUCGAUUGGGCCGCAAUCCCCGGGGGGAAAAUAGACCAGGCUUUUUCUUUUUGAUUCUUUGUAUAGUGCUCUUAGAGAGCAUUUGCAAAUGUAGCCUUGCAUUGUUUCAUAUGUGUAUAAAUAAAGUAACCUUUCGAUUUUCGCCUUCCA